GACGAACGCUGGCGGCGUGCCUAACACAUGCAAGUCGAACGGAACUGUUUUGAAAGAUUUCUUCGGCAGGAACGUGAUUUAGUUUAGUGGCGGACGGGUGAGUAACGCGUGAGUAACCAGCCUUCAAGAGGGGAAUAACAUUUGGAAAAGAAUGCUAAUACCGCAUGACAUAUCGGAACCACAUGGUUUUGAUAACAAAGAUUUUAUCGCUUGAAGAUGGACUCGCGUCCGAUUAGUUAGAUGGUGAGGUAACGGCUGACCGAGACCGCGAUCGGUAGCCGGACUGAGAGGUUGAGCGGCCACAUUGGGACUGAGGCACGGCCCAGACUCCUUCGGGAGGCAGCGGUGGGGGAUACUGCGCAAUGGGGGCAACCCUAGCGCAGCAUCGCCGCGUGAAGGAUGAAGGUUUUCGGAUUGUAAACUUCUUUUAUUAAGGACGAAAAAUGACGUUACUUAAUGAAUAAGCUCCGGCUAACUACGUG
rnacentral:rRNA from 1 species